GGAAGAAGAAGGCCUGCCCUAGAGGCCAGUAGGAGCUGAGCAAAAGGAAUCCUAAGUCCAAGAGAGAAGCAGAGGACCUGGCCGCCAGCUCCACCCUCCCUCCCAGGGCCAAAUUUAGCCUGGGCUUAGAAGCUGCGGCCCAGCCAGCUCAUUAAAGGGCCCACGACCCUUUGGGCCUGUGCUGUCAGACCCACCAGGGCCCUAGGACACCUCCAGCCCUCAGAGCUCCCAGCCCCUUCAUCCCAGAGCCCAGCUCCCAGCCCCAUUCCCUGGAUCCCCAGCUGGCCAUGGCAUUAACACCCCAAAGCCCUUCUGGCCCCUGCUUCACCCAACCCAGAUCCCUCUUCUGUGGGCCCUCCACACCUCCAUCUUACCACCCCUAAAUCCUGCCCCCUCAUCCUGGGCCUCCCCGCUGAACAAGGCCCCAACUUGCCCACGAGGAGAGGAGUCCAGAAGAGUGUCUCAGCCAUGUCUGCCCGGCCUGGCCCGCCCGGCCAAGCUGGGUGUCCCCUUAGCCCCUGCGUGCUUUCCUGGGCACAACACAAUCACACAGACUGCUCCAAGCUCCUCGAAGACUAGGAUCUUGUCAUGUUUGUGCCAUCCACCCAGCCUUUAUCCCCAGUCCAAGCACUUCAGCGUGGAGGUCUAGCAAGCCCUGGACAGGACCAGCCAGCUAGAGACAGGUGAGCGGAGGAGGCACCCUCUCUGGCCCAUGGAGUCAGGGUUCGUUCGGCGCAUAGACUUGGAGGCCUGGAGGUGGGCCACCUUGGCCACUUGCUGGGGAUGAGGCCUUGAGUGCACCAUUUGCCCUCUAGCCCAUUUCCACAACUAUAAACUGGCAAGAAUAGUGCUUGCCUCUUGGCAUCAUUGUGAGGACUCCACAAAGUAAUGAAUGCAGCGCAUAUUUAUG